AUGGUCCGUCCCGUGGACGCCCGGAACAUCGGGGCGCGGUCCCCGAUACCCUGGCGGCGUGCCCCUGCCCGGGAGGCUCCAUCGGGGAUCGUUCCGGGCAGCCGCAAAGCCGACAGCCGUCGCACCUGAGGGAGCCCCUUACAUG
rnacentral:sRNA from 1 species